AGCCCUGUGCCCCAAUUGAUAGAGGGAGCUGGUUUUGAACCAGAACGUUGUAGGUUUAAAUCCUACCAAGGCUG
rnacentral:tRNA from 1 species